AAGUUCCUACGGGGGGCAGCAGUGGGGGAUAUUGCACAAUGGGGGAAACCCUGAUGCAGCGACGCGGCGUGAGAGAAGAAGUAUUUCGGUAUGUAAAGCUCUAUCAGCAGGGAAGAAAAUGACGGUACCUGACUAAGAAGCCCCGGCUAACUACGUGCCAGCAGCCGCGGUAAUACGUAGGGGGCAAGCGUUAUCCGGAUUUACUGGGUGUAAAGGGAGCGGAGACGGAGGAGCAAGUCUGAUGUGAAAAUCCGGGGCCCAACCCCGGAACUGCAUUGGAAACUGUUUAUCUAGAUAGUCG
rnacentral:rRNA from 1 species